rnacentral:lncRNA from 1 species
AAGGGUGGCGUUGAGGGUGUGGAACUAUUGCCACCACACAGGGCCCCUAAUUUUUUUUUUUUUUUUACUUAUGUAUUAUUUAUAUUAAUAUUUUAAAAGUAGGGUUUUCGACCGAAAUGGUCCCCCAACUAUUGCUCCAGUAUCGUUUUGGUCCAUCGUUAAAGUCUCUAUUUAGUAUAAAUAGUCAUCCAACUCUCUAUUUAGUAUCAAGUUGGUCCCACCGUUAAAGUCUGUUAAUAUGGCCAUUAAAUUGAGGGGUAAAAUGGUCCUCCCAC